UGUCCUUGCAGGGCCUGGACGCAGAGACCAGAGGCCGGAACUGGCAGACUGUCCUCACAGGCUGUGUGACACUGGCUAGUCGUCCCAUCUCUCUGGGGCCCCACAGGACCGGGGACCAGGUUGUGGAAUGACAGUGGACUACAGUGGUCGGGGGACCGGCUCGUUGGCGGCAGGCACAGGCCCGUGUGAUGGGGACAAUGAGCUUUGGUAUUUGUGAGUCCUGUCCAGAGCAUAGGUCCUCCUGUUCAGAAGCCACCUCAUAAACGUCCCCAAUGCCUCCCGGACUUAGGAAGGCAACCCCUUGUGGUUCUGGCCAGUUGGGGACACGGGGCCUGGGAGCCCAUGCUGCUCAGAACAGGCUCAGCUGCAUCUAAUCCCAGGGGAGCCCCUGAGGAGCCUGCACACCCCCCAGGCUGGCCCACAGGAGCUGAGGCGGGGCUCUCCUCCAGGUUGACCUCCUGGGCUCACAGCCCCUUCCCCACAUCCCAAGGCCAGCUCUGCAGAGUCAUGGGGAGAAGAAGCCGGAGCCCCAGCCACACUCGCCACACACACGACACCCACUCUGGUGUCCUCCGGCCAGCGACAGCGAGGGACAGAGGGACGCCCCCUGCACCUGCCCAGUCCAGAGGCUUCUUGGGUGAUGCCAGGCCCUGCUCCCAGCCCUGUGCGCCCCGCUAAAGACCCCAUGUCUCACCAUGAAGGAGUCCAGGAGAGUUUAAGCUUCUACCUGGUCUGAGCACUUUUCUGGAAACUAAAUAGCCACUCGGCUUCCCACUGGCAGCGGGAGAGCGUGGUGUGAGGGGCGGUUUCCGAACUCCCCCGCAAGUCCCCUCCCCUGCACCCCACUUCCUCCGGCCUGCCGUCUCCAGGCAGGGUUGAGGGGGGCAAGCCAGGCCUGCGGCUGGUGUCAGGGAUUAUAGACAGCCACAGCAGGGGAGGUGGGGAGAAGUCUGCAGGCUUGGGCAGGCGGCUCUGUAAAGGAUGCGGGUGCUCUGUGGUGGUGAGAGACAGGGUGUGCAGCAGACGUGGCCAUAAAUCACCCUCCUCAUGGCAGUCCCACACCCACGGACCAGGGCACGGGCACAGGGCCAUCUCUUUCCAGGAGAAGGGCUGGUGUGGGUGGCCAGAUCCUGACGGUCCCCAGGCCAUAGGACAGAGCCAGAAGACAGAGCAGUUCCUCCGUUUACCCCAGCAGCAGCAUCACAGUAACAGCCGGCACACAGCACUUAGGCUUCGGGUUGUUCCAGAAGCUUCUGCAGGGGCCCUAUGCUGAGCUCAAGGCACCCCUAAGAGGAGGGCAUUUUGCUGUCCCCACUUUACCGAGAAGGAACUUGGGCUCAGGGUGGUUUAAGGCGUGAAUGAAUGAAGGAGCAAGCAGUAAGUCCCGACAGCAAGGCCACCACAGCCCUCACCCCACAGGGACGCCUGAGCAAGGACCCAAGCAGGGGACAAGCAGGCUCACCCCGCCCUUGCGGGGCUGACCACGAGGCCCGGUCCGGUGGAACGCGCCAUGACACUUCAGAAGGCUCGUGUAGCUGGCGCCGUAUCGGACAGCGGGGGACAGAGAAAAUGCACAGCCCAGGGAAAUGUGGAGACAGGCCCAACGCCAGGCAUGGGGGCCGGAAGGAGCAGCUGGGGAGCAGGGGGCAGGGCCUGGAGUCCCGCCUUGCAGGUCAGAGAUCUGAACCUGCCUCAGCCCCAGGACUCUGAGUGCAGCCAGAGGGGAGCCGGGCUGGAGAGUGGGGAGCACGGAGACUGUGGCCUGGACGGUGCCAGAGCAAACAGGAGAAAGGCUCCCCCACGCAGAGGCUGCGGCACAGCCCAGCGGGUCCCGGGGCUGACUGGGUGGGAGCAGCUCCCAGCGAGAGGCCCCUGGGAUUUGGGUAAGUAGAGGCACAUGCAGACUCUGGCCACAGGGCACCUCGCGCAUGAGGGGAGUUCACCACACAAGCUGAGUGGAGGGCGGACGCAGGAGAACAGCGGUUUCUUGGAAGCCAAGGGCAGUCAUGGAGCCCCACGCCACAGCGCUUCCCACGGGGCCACACCAUCCGGUCUGCGGAGGGAGCUGCAUUGCCAGGAAGGACCAUCUGAUUCUGGAUUCCAGCCUCACCCUGGGCCACCGCUGAGUGUCCCAAGUGGCCCCUUAGCCCCCAGGGCCAGGCGGCAUCCCAAUCCCCUUGGGAUGUUGUGCUCAGAAUGUGGCACACACACCCUGGCAGGGCCAUCCUCCUCCUCCUGCACCCGGCAUGGCCGUGGGUUCAGGGUCUCUAUCGUGGGCAGAGAUUCACAAAGUCAAGGUGAGGGUCCCAGAAGCAGCUGUGACCAGGCCCUGGCUGCCAGGGAGAGGGGGUCCUCAGCCGACAGGGCAGACACCCGGAGAUGGACCCUCGUCCAGGGGAGGGCCCUGCCGCCCACAAUUCCUUGGCAUUCCUGCACCAGCAGGAUGGGCUGAGGGAGGCGCCUUGCCGGUGUCAGUGCCCAGCAUCACUGUGCCCCGGUGGAGGGGGAGGCCUUUCCGAGCCUGGGCCUGGGUGUGAACGAGGGCAGGUUUCUCACCUCUCUGACCUCAGCUUCCUCAACUGGGAAGGGGGGCCGCAGCACCCCCUUAGGGGUGAUGAGGAAGUGGGAGCUCAGGGAGGGCCCUGGGCAGGGCUGCCUCCUCACCUCCCUUCAGCCUUUGGACACUGGAGCUCAGAGGACCAAGCAAAUGAAUGAAUGAAUGACUCAAUCAAUCAACUGAUGCAUCAAUCCAUGGACCCCUGAACAGCUGGACAGCUGGGCUGUGGGCAGGAUGGGGGACUCUGGCCGAAGCCACGUUCAUAUGUGUUCAGCUUUGUGAGUGGGGUGAGGUUGAGGGCUUAUUCAGUGAGGGGGGAGGGGUGCACGGCAGGGCCAGUACCCUCGGAGGGUCAGGCCACAGAGGGCGGGGACACCUGCCAGGAUGCCCAACCCCAGAGGCGGUGCGAGCCGCUGGGGAGCCGUGGUUCCAGUCAGCGGUGGCUGUGAUGAGGGCUGCUCCCACUUCAUCCGCAGGAUUCCAGCCGCAGCCGCCCCACACCCAAGCUGUCCCUAGUCACCCACCACGGCCGGACAAAGCCCCCGGCAGCCAAGGUGCUCCGCGGGGCGGGUUUCUUGGGUUUCUUGAAGCCAGUAUUUCCCAUGGUAUCUUACGUCCCAGAAGAGGCCUCCACUGUGCCUGGACCAGCGGCCCACUCGGUGAGUCGAGUGUGCACCUGGCACCCCUCUUUCUGGAAAUCCACGAACACUGGGCUCCCAGCAGAGGACUGAGGCUGAGCAGGCCACUUCCCUGGAGCUGACCCCACAGCUGUGUAGGUACAGGGUGGCUGUGAACACUUAGGGCUCUCUCGGGCUGUGCGCUUCUUGGCUCCUGACCAAGCCCUGUCACUGCUGCCCAGCCCCACUUGGGGCCCCCUUCACCCACCCCUGACCACCUCAUGCAGGUGAAGUCACUAUGGAAACAGCCUGGCAGUCCCUCGAAAAAUGAAGUCAUAAACCCCAGCAAUUGCACUCCUGGGCCUAUGACAGAGCUUGCACAUCCCCUCCAAAGCUCAUGUUUAGCUGUGAGCCCCAGUGCCGGAGGUGGGGCCUGGUGUAUUUUGGUCCUGGGGGCGGAUCCCUCAUGGCUGGGUGCCAUGCACCCACUCACCACAGUGAGUUCUCGCGAGAUCUGGUUGUUGAAAAGUGUAUGGUACCUCCCCCACAACUCUCUGUCUUUUGUUCCGGCUCUGGCCAUGUAACAAGCCUGCUCCUCCUUCGCCUUCUGCCGUGACUGUAAGCUUUCUGAGGGCUGACCAGAAGCCCAGCAGAUGCCAGCACCAUGCUUCCUAUACAGCCUGCAGAACCGCGAGCCAGCUAAACCUCUCCUUAUAAAUCACCCAGCCCCAGGUUUAUCUUUACAGCAAUGCAAGACCUGACUAAUACAGCACAAGCUCCCCAAAAUAAAAAGAAAUAUUCAAAUAGGCACACAGGAGUGUUCCCAGCGGCACUAUUCACUGCAGCCAAAAGGUGGAGGAGCCACAGGCCUGUCAGCUGAUGAUAGACAAAGAAAGCAUGGCCUGUCAUCCCAGCACUUUGGGAGGCCGAGGCGGGCAGAUCACCUGAGGUCGGGAGUUCAAGACCAGCCUGGACAACAUGGUGAAACCCAGUCUCUACUAAAAAUAUAAAAAUUAGCCGGCUGUGGUGAUGAGUUCCUGUAGUCCCAGCUACUUGGGAGGCUGAGGGACAAGAAUUGCUUGAACCCGGGAGGCAGAGGUUGCAGUGAACCGAGAUCAUGCCAUUGCUCUCCAGCCUGGGUAACAGAGUGAGACUCUGUCUCUAAA